rnacentral:rRNA from 2 species
GUCGAACGAACUUAACUUAUUGAUUGAAGUGCUUGCACUGAUUGACUUAAGAGCGGUGAGUGGCGGAUGGGUGAGUAACACGUGGGUAACCUGCCUUCUAGCAGGGGAUAACAUCUGGAAACAGGUGCUAAUACCGUAUAAAUCGUCAAACCGCAUGGUUUGACGCUGAAAGGCGGCUUCGGCUGUCACUAGAAGAUGGACCCGCGGUGCAUUAGUUAGUUGGUGAGGUAAAGGCCCACCAAGACCGUGAUGCAUAGCCGAACUGAGAGGUUGAUCGGCCACAUUGGGACUGAGACACGGCCCAAACUCCUACGGGAGGCAGCAGUAGGGAAUCUUCCACAAUGGACGAAAGUCUGAUGGAGCAACGCCGCGUGAGUGAAGAAGGUUUUCGGAUCGUAAAGCUCUGUUGUUGAAGAAGAACACUAGUGAGAGUAACUGUUCAUUAGUUGACGGUAUUCAACCAGAAAGCCACGGCUAACUACGUGCCAGCAGCCGCGGUAAUACGUAGGUGGCGAGCGUUAUCCGGAUUUAUUGGGCGUAAAGCGAGCGCAGGCGGUUUCUUAAGUCUGAUGUGAAAGCCCCCGGCUCAACCGGGGAAGUGCAUCGGAAACUGGGAAACUUGAGUGCAGAAGAGGACAGUGGAACUCCAUGU